rnacentral:rRNA from 1 species
GCCAGCCCGCUCAGAAACGUUAAAGGAAUUGACGGGGGCCCGCACAAGCGGUGGAGUAUGUGGUUUAAUUCGAUGCAACGCGAAGAACCUUACCUGGUCUUGACAUCCCGGAGACCCUUAGGAAACUAGGGGGUGCUUCCAUCUGGAAGAAUCUGGAGACAGGUGCUGCAUGGCUGUCGUCAGCUCGUGUCGUGAGAUGUUGGGUUAAGUCCCGCAACGAGCGCAACCCUUGCCUUUAGUUGCCAGCAGUUCGGCUGGGCACUCUAAAGGGACUGCCGGUGUUAAACCGGAGGAAGGUGGGGAUGACGUCAAGUCCUCAUGGCCUUUAUGACCAGGGCUACACACGUACUACAAUGGCCGAUACAAAGGGCAGCGACACUGCGAGGUGAAGCCAAUCCCGUAAAAUCGGUCUCAGUCCGGAUUGGAGUCUGCAACUCGACUCCAUGAAGUUGGAAUCGCUAGUAAUCGUGGAUCAGCAUGCCACGGUGAAUACGUUCCCGGGCCUU